rnacentral:rRNA from 1 species
CCUACUGCUAUCGGGGUGGGACUAAGACAUGCGAGUUGAGCGUCUCUAAGCUAUGGUAGAGACGCGGCGUACGGCUCAGUAACAUGUGGCUAACCUACCCUUAGGACGGGGACAACCCCGGGAAACUGGGGCUAAUACCCGAUAGGUGAGGAGGCCUGGAAUGGUUCCUAGUCGAAAAGGCGUUGAAACCACGCUUUUCGACGUCGCCUAAGGAUGGGGCCGCGCCCGAUCAGGUUGUUGGUGGGGUAACGGCUCACCAAGCCUAUAACCGGUACGGGCCGUGAGAGCGGGAGCCCGGAGAUGGGCACUGAGACAAGGGCCCAGGCCCUACGGGGCGCAGCAGUUGCGAAAACUCCACAAUGCACGAAAGUGCGAUGGGGCUACCCCGAGUGCCGCCCGUUGAGGACGGCUUUUCCACGGUGUAAUGAGCCGGGGGAAUAAGGAGAGGGCAAGUCUGGUGUCAGCCGCCGCGGUAAUACCAGCUCUCCGAGUGGUGGGGACGCUUAUUGGGCCUAAAGCAUUCGUAGCCUGCUUGGCAAGUCCUCCGUUAAAUCCAGCGAUCCAAUCGUUGGGCUGCGGGGGAUACUGUCCGGCUAGGGGGCGGGAGAGGCCGACGGUAUCCUCGGGGUAGGGGUGAAAUCCUAUAAUCCCGGGAGGACCACCAGUGGCGAAGGCUGUCGGCUAGAACGCGCUCGACGGUGAGGGAUGAAAGCUGGGGGAGCGAACCGGAUUAGAUACCCGGGUAGUCCCAGCUGUAAACGAUGCGGGCUAGGUGUUGGGGUGGCUACGAGCCACUUCAGUGCCGCAGGGAAGCCAUUAAGCCCGCCGCCUGGGGAGUACGGCCGCAAGGCUGAAACUUAA